AACCGACAACAAACCACAAAACACAGAACAAGACUUACAUGUGUAUGAGAUGUUUAGAACCGACAACAAGCCACAAAACACAGAACAAGACUUAGAUGUGUAUGAGAACAACUCAGCAAUAUAUGAGAACACAAAAUAUACUACAUGAUCUUCUUUGAAGGUACAGUAAGUUGUGAUCUCAUCAGUGAAAAAAGACAUCUUAACAGGCAGACCAUCAUGUUUUUUAUUCAGGAGAAAUUAUAGAGAUUAUAUAAAAAGUUAAUAAAAACAGCAACUCUUUGUCUUAAUCAGACAUUUUUUGUCUUGCAGAUAGUUGAAAAAUCAUCACCAGCAUCGAGAAGACACCUUUAUUGUUUUUUAUGAGUGGUAGUGUCAGCUGAUCAGUCGGUCCACUGCUUUGGUUCACACUGAAAUAUCUCAACAGUUAUUGCUAUUGUUAAAUUUUGUAAAGACAUUGAUGUUCCACAGAAUAUGAAUCAUGUUGACUUUGAUGACAUCCUGACUUUUUCCUCUAUAACCAACAUGAGUUUCAUAUUAGUAGUUAUGAGUGAAAUAUCUCUAUUUCCAUGAAAUCACCACACUUGUGUCCCCCAAAUUGCUGAUCCCUUAACUUUUUAUAUAGUGUCACCCUCAGGUCACAUUUAUAAAAGAUAUAAAAUAAUUUGAUUUAAGGUAAAAUACCUGCAGCAGCCUCAGCUGUGCAGUGAGUCAAAACACUUAGUUUAGCUUGUGAACAAGCUGUGGCAAACAUUAUAUCUGCUGCUGUAAAUCAACAUGUCAGCACUGUCUUUGUAAAAAUGUAAACAUGUAUAUGAUGAAAGUUAUUUAGCUCAAAGCAGCACUGAGUCUACAGAGCUGCUAGCUGUAGACUCUUAAGGGGGAUUCACGUUACAGUGAAAAAACAAGGUGAUUAGCUGAUGGACUGACUUUUAUGGAAACCUAAAAGCUACAAUGCUGAUUUUAUUUAUUAAUAAAUUUUUUUAUUAUUUUUAUUAUUAUUAAUUUAUUUAUUAGUUUGUUUGUUUGUUUCAUUUUAAACAGGCAAAUAUAUUUUUGGUCUGUGGAUCGAUUUGUUAUUGAACAGUUCAGGGAAUUCAGAAACAUACGAACAUACCUUUUUUGUCCAUCUUUCAGUUCAAUCAAUGGUAAACAGUUAUUAAGUCAAAAUUCAACAAAUUCAAAAUGUCAUUAAAAUUAUAUACACAAUAAUGGACAUGGCAUGCACAAAAUAUGCCUUUCUGUGAUAAUGUAACUACAUCUGUAGGUUCUUUACUUGAUAUUAUUUCUCUGCUAGUUUGUAUAUAUAUAUUUUUCCAUUUUACAGUGCAAUUCAAUUUGAUAGUAACUUUAUAUGUGUAUGUGUUACUAUUAAACAACCAGUAAUAUAAAUGUGCUUACAUUACAGUACAUUACAAACUACAUUCAUUAGUUUUUUUGGCCAGGAAAAUAAUUCCACAACAAGAUAACAUACAACUGCCCUGAUAAGCCAAUAUUAUCACCUUAAACAAUUUCAUGGCUACUGUAUUCAUAAACUGUAUUAUUUCUGCUGAGUUUCUGGCCACUUAAUACAUGCAAGUCCAAUAUUAACUCUCCUUUAAGCCAUGUUUGAUAUGCACCAGCCCUUGACAAAAAUAUCUAGCUCCUAAACCUGAAACUACUCUGAUCACACUGCGAACAACUCACAUUGACUCUUCUGCUAAAGUCUCUUCCAUAUCUAACUUAAAGACAUGAGACAAGUAUUGGACCAAACAAGCAUUCACUGGAGAAAAGUGCACUGAUUAUAUCAGUUUACAGACUAGAUAGCUAAUUUAUUUAAGAUGUUUUAUUCAUGAUGAAGCUGACAGGACUCAUGUUCUGAUUUAUCAACUUUUCCCUGUAAAGCUUUGAUGUUGACAUUAGUGUAAUAAAGCUGUAUUUAUGUCCUACAAAUGCAUGCUUGAAUUCAUGUUUGAUUUUUUAUUAAUUUAUGAGAAACAAAAAAAUACUGCAAGACAAAAAAAUUAUUGUGGUGAGUGGAGGGUUUACUGUAUAAGUAAAAUGAGCUGUUACACUUCUGUACUUUCAAGGUUUUAGAACAACAAGGUUAGGUGGGUAUUAUACCCUUACAUGCCCAAAAGAUUGCCAGACAACGUCAACGGCACUCAUGUAGUCUGUGAGAUGUUGUAUUUGUGUUUUCCAUUAUUAUUUAUUAGAAUGAAUUACUGCUAAAUUUAAUUGUUUAGAUUUAUUGAUUACCUGUAGCAAGUAGGCGUGGUUUUGGCUUGAAUCCGGCAUAGUCACCUGAGUAUGGCAGCUAGUGUCAGUCUAGCAGUGUCAGUGUCAAGUGACUGUGGUAAAAUCCAAUUUCAACAACAAUUUCACAUUUUUUCUUCACUCAACGUUUAUCUUAUAUUACUUAAGUUAUUAUUUUUGUUAAGUUUUGAGUUUAAUAGAAAUUAUGAAAUCAACUUAAUUUAUGUUUGGAAACUCCUUGUUUAAUAGUAAAUUCAUCAAGUUGAAGAACCUGCAUUUGGAGUGCGUUAAAAAUCACCACUGUCUGAAACCCGGCAGCAUCACCACCUUCGGAUGCCUUGACAUGAAGCGUGAUAGGAAAACUCCAAUAACCCAUUACUUCCUUAUUAGCCUUCAUAUACUGAGACCCACAUUGUCACACUGAAACCACCUGAAGGAAAGUUAAGGAGUUUGACACAAAAUGAGUGAUGGAGUUUUUAUUAUUAUUAUUAUUAGUAGUAUUAUUCUGUUGAUUUAUUUUGACAUUUCACAGUCUUUUGCUUACAUAAAUUGCACCUAACUUCAAUUAGCAAGCAGUUUCUUAAAUGCCUUCAAAGUAAUAUUAUGUGCACAAACUUAAUUUGUGGAGCAAACAAACAUGAUGUUGUUUGAGAAAGAAAUGUUUUAGACAUACGAUCCCAGUCUUGAAUAUAUGCGAGUUUAAAGUAUUUCUGUCUUUUGGGAUGAAAUACAUAACUUACAAAAAAGUUGCAUUAGCCUUCACUUUUUGUCCAAGGAGUUUUAAAAACUGGCUAAAAGUCACUGCUACUAGGUUGUAAACACAAAUAACUUAAUACCACUGUGUACUGGUUACCAUUCACUAACUGGGUAUUUUUCCGUUGUUGAGUAUAAAUGGUGUAAUUUCAGAUCCUUGCAUGAAACACUUGAGGGCACUGUCCUCCAGAAGUUUGUCACAACUUGUGUUUUCUGCUUCAUAUAAAGCCGAUUGAGCUCUCAGUUGAUAAAUGUGAAGAGUUUUUAUCAUUUUUCUCUGAAACAGUUCAAACUGUUAGGAAUGCAUUUUCCCUCCCUCUCAAACUCUUCCUGACUUUUGCUUUAAAACACUUUGCACCCUAAUGCAUUAAAGUCAGUCAAGGAUAAUUUAAAAUCUACUACAGUUCAACCACUUCCUGACUAAAAUCUUAAAAAAUAGUUUAUUUUAUUUAUUAUUUUUUUCUAUUACUAUAUCAUCCCAUUUGUAGGGUUAGAAAUAUGCUAGAAAAGUAUUUAUUUAUUUGAUUUCAUAAAAAAUUUGAGUCCCACAUAUAUCCUCCUAAUUUCAAUAAAAACAAUAUUUUAGGACAACUUUGGAUCAGAUGGUCAUGAUUAAGUACCAAUGGGACAAGUCAGUAAAUACUGUCUGUGUGUGAUGUGCGAAACUUCCAAUCUACAUCUGAGAGAAAAUAUGAAGUGAGAACAUACUACAAUAAGUGUACACAGUAUGCUGGUAGUCACACAAAAAAAUGAUUUUAUAUAUAAUGAUUAAAUUAAAAAUACUGUAAAACACUGAUCCCUGACCCUACUCUACCUCUUUUGACUAUGAUACAUUGCAAUUGACAAAAGGCUCAAUGAAUGUUAGAUUGUCUACAGAUGAGACAUUCAGUCAUAUUAGAUUUUAAAUAGAUUAGUUUAUAUCAUCAUCUUAUCAAAGUGCACCUUUUACAAAUAUUUACAGUUAACAUGACCUGCAGUACCCUGAUCAUCACUAAAGAUUGAGAUAUUUUUAGGCAACAGUUUCCGUAUACCUGGAAGGACUUUGAGAUUCAGGCCGUCUCAUCACUGCAGAUGUCCAUCAAAUAAUCCCACUUCACCAUGACUUUGACAUUCACUCAACUUCAAGUAUAUCUUUUUUUUUUUUUGUUUCAGUAGGAUUGGAGAAAAAUGCCUUCUUAUUGUUUGUUAUUGAACUUUUCAGUUUUGGAUUUUCGGAGCUGUGGAACUUCCCUUUGAGGGAUAAUAAAGUUUAUUAUUAUGGAAUUAAAUUACAAAUAAUUAUGUCUAUUGAUCUUUCAUCUGUCUUUUUGGACCAAUAGAUAACAUACUGUAGAUCUGUCCAACAGAGCAACGUCAAAAUAGUUCACUGUUAUUAUAAAAACCUCAAUAAAAAAGCUACAUCGAUAUCAAGGUGCAUCCAUGUCCUGACAAUUACCGAUACCACUGAUAUGUAAAUAAAUAUAUAAUUUAAAUUAUUGUUAAAUAACUGAUAUUUUGUAAGGUGCAAAAUAAAUACAAAAAUAAUUCAAAACUGACAAACUCCAAACUGGAAUCUAAUUGGAG